GACGAACGCUGGCGGCGUGCCUAAUACAUGCAAGUCGAACGCAGUGGGGACGGGUGAUUAACACGUGGGUAACCUCCCAUCAGAGGGGAUAACACUUGGAAACAGGUGCUAAACCGAUACUGAUGGAUGGACCCGCGGUGCAUUAGCUAGUUGGUGAGGUAACGGCUCACCAAGGCCACGAUGCAUAGCCGGCCUGAGAGGAUGAUCGGCCACACUGGGACUGAGACACGGCCCAGACUCCUACGGGAGGCAGCAGUGGGGAAUCUUGGGCAAUGGACGAAAGUCUGACGGAGCCACGCCGCGUGAGUGAAGAAGGGUUUCGGAUCGUAAAACACUGUUGGUGGAGAAGCGGUACCUAACCAAAAAGCCACGGCUAACUACGUGCCAGCAGCCGCGGUAAUUC
rnacentral:rRNA from 1 species